rnacentral:lncRNA from 1 species
UUAGUUUUACCCUACUGAUGAUGUGUGUUGCCAUGGUAAUCCUGCUCAGUACGAGAGGAACCGCAGGUUCAGACAUUUGGUGUAUGUGCUUGGCUGAGGAGCCAAUGGGGCGAAAGCUACCAUCUGUGGGAUUAUGACUGAACGCCUCUAAGUCAGAAUCCCGCCCAGGCGGAACCGAUACGGCAGCGCCGAAGGAGCCUCGGUUGGCCUCGGAUAGCCGGUCCCCCGCCGUCCCCGCCGGCGGCCCGCGUCGUGCGUCCGCCUCGGCGGCGUGCGGCGCGCCCCCCGCCGCGCGUCGGGACCGGGGUCCGGUGCGGAGAGCCCUUCGUCCCGGGAAAUGGGGCGCGGCCGGAAAGGGGGCCGCCCUCUCGCCCGUCACGCACCGCACGUUCGUGGGGAACCUGGCGCUAAACCAUUCGUAGACGACCUGCUUCUGGGUCGGGGUUUCGUACGUAGCAGAGCAGCUCCCUCGCUGCGAUCUAUUGAAAGUCAGCCCUCGACACAAGGGUUUGUCGAGCCGGGCCGGUCCGGUCCGGCGCCGCUUCCUCUCCCUCCACCUCGGCCCUCCCGGCGGCCCCCGAGGCAGGCACCUGCUUCGGGGUGGGAGCGGCGGCGUGGGGGGCGCGCCUUGCGAGGCCCGUGGGGCCCUGCUUUGGCGCGUGCACGCGUCCCCGGCGGUCGACCAGCUGCCCCGGCGGACUUGGGCUCGGGCGGGGACGAGCUCAGGGACGUCCUGGGGGGGGGGAUAUAUGUGUAUAUGUAUGUGUGUGUGUGUGUGUGUGUGUGUGUGUCCACGAAGGUCGACCAGCUGCCCCGGCGGACUUGGGCGCCGCACAGUGCAAGCGCUGGUGCGUUUUUUUUCCAAGGAAAACAUGAGGCGGGUUUUUUUUUUUUCUUCUUAAUUUAUGGAGGGAGGGAGGGAGGGGGAGGGGGGAGGGGGGAGGGGGAGGACGAACAGAAGAGCAGAGUCUCUCCCAUGCACUGGUUCUCUCCUGCUCCCCGAAUGACCUCACCAGUCGCCCCUGGGCCGCACCUUCUGUCCUCGCGCGUCAGAACGAUGCUCCGGGCAAGCUCCAAGGACACCGCAGGCGGGAGGGACCGCGGCACCACAUGCCACCACACCACACCGGAGGAAGCUGCCUUUUUGAGAGACGCUGCCAUGGUGGAGCGGCAUGGUUCCGAGAGCCUACUGGGCUCUGCCGUCUUUCCUGACUCUCUCCGUCGUACCCACCCCCGGAAAAGGACUCUGCUCCAUCGGCUGGAUGUCUGGUGGGAUCGCUCAGCCUGCACGUCUCCCACGGGACAUGCCUUCACCCAGGCCUGGAUUUGCGGGAGGGUCCUGCUCCUUGGUACUGUGCGUGCCUGA